GAUGAACGCUGGCGGCGUGCCUAAUACAUGCAAGUCGAGCGAAUGGAUUAAGAGCUUGCUCUUAUGAAGUUAGCGGCGGACGGGUGAGUAACACGUGGGUAACCUGCCCAUAAGACUGGGAUAACUCCGGGAAACCGGGGCUAAUACCGGAUAACAUUUUGAACCGCAUGGUUCGAAAUUGAAAGGCGGCUUCGGCUGUCACUUAUGGAUGGACCCGCGUGGCAUUAGCUAGUUGGUGAGGGAACGGCUCACCAAGGCAACGAUGCGUAGCCGACCUGAGAGGGUGAUCGGCCACACUGGGACUGAGACACGGCCCAGACUCCUACGGGAGGCAGCAGUAGGGAAUCUUCCGCAAUGGACGAAAGUCUGGCGGAGCAACGCCGCGUGAGUGAUGAAGGCUUUCGGGUCGUAAAACUCUGUUGUUAGGGAGGAACAAGUGCUAGUUGAAUAAGCUGGCACCUUGACGGUACCUAACCAGAAAGCCACGGCUAACUACGUGCCAGCCGCCGCAGUAA
rnacentral:rRNA from 1 species